rnacentral:rRNA from 1 species
GACGAACGCUGGCGGCGUGCUUAACACAUGCAAGUCGAACGGAAAGGCCCUGCUUUUGUGGGGUGCUCGAGUGGCGAACGGGUGAGUAACACGUGAGUAACCUGCCCUUGACUUUGGGAUAACUUCAGGAAACUGGGGCUAAUACCGGAUAGGAGCUCCUGCUGCAUGGUGGGGGUUGGAAAGUUUCGGCGGUUGGGGAUGGACUCGCGGCUUAUCAGCUUGUUGGUGGGGUAGUGGCUUACCAAGGCUUUGACGGGUAGCCGGCCUGAGAGGGUGACCGGCCACAUUGGGACUGAGAUACGGCCCAGACUCCUACGGGAGGCAGCAGUGGGGAAUAUUGCACAAUGGGCGGAAGCCUGAUGCAGCAACGCCGCGUGCGGGAUGACGGCCUUCGGGUUGUAAACCGCUUUCGCCUGUGACGAAGCGUGAGUGACGGUAAUGGGUAAAGAAGCACCGGCUAACUACGUGCCAGCAGCCGCGGUGAUACGUAGGGUGCGAGCGUUGUCCGGAUUUAUUGGGCGUAAAGGGCUCGUAGGUGGUUGAUCGCGUCGGAAGUGUAAUCUUGGGGCUUAACCCUGAGCGUGCUUUCGAUACGGGUUGACUUGAGGAAGGUAGGGGAGAAUGGAAUUCCUGGUGGAGCGGUGGAAUGCGCAGAUAUCAGGAGGAACACCAGUGGCGAAGGCGGUUCUCUGGGCCUUUCCUGACGCUGAGGAGCGAAAGCGUGGGGAGCGAACAGGCUUAGAUACCCUGGUAGUCCACGCUGUAAACGGUGGGUACUAGGUGUGGGGUCCAUUCCACGGGUUCCGUGCCGUAGCUAACGCUUUAAGUACCCCGCCUGGGGAGUACGGCCGCAAGGCUAAAACUCAAAGGAAUUGACGGGGCCCUGCACAAGCGGCGGAGCAUGCGGAUUAAUUCGAUGCAACGCGUAGAACCUUACCUGGGUUUGACAUGGAUCGGGAGCGCUCAGAGAUGGGUGUGCCUCUUUUGGGGUCGGUUCACAGGUGGUGCAUGGCUGUCGUCAGCUCGUGUCGUGAGAUGUUGGGUUAAGUCCCGCAACGAGCGCAACCCUUGUUCACUGUUGCCAGCACGUUAUGGUGGGGACUCAGUGGAGACCGCCGGGGUCAACUCGGAGGAAGGUGGGGAUGACGUCAAGUCAUCAUGCCCCUUAUGUCCAGGGCUUCACGCAUGCUACAAUGGCUGGUACAGAGAGUGGCGAGCCUGUGAGGGUGAGCGAAUCUCGGAAAGCCGGUCUCAGUUCGGAUUGGGGUCUGCAACUCGACCUCAUGAAGUCGGAGUCGCUAGUAAUCGCAGAUCAGCAACGCUGCGGUGAAUACGUUCCCGGG